rnacentral:rRNA from 1 species
AUUGAACGCUGGCGGAAUGCUUUACACAUGCAAGUCGAACGGCAGCACGGGGGCAACCCUGGUGGCGAGUGGCGAAUGGGUGAGUAAUACAUCGGAACGUGCCCAGUCGUGGGGGAUAACGUAGCGAAAGUUACGCUAAUACCGCAUACGAUCUACGGAUGAAAGCGGGGGACCGUAAGGCCUCGCGCGAUUGGAGCGGCCGAUAUCAGAUUAGGUAGUUGGUGGGGUAAAGGCUCACCAAGCCAACGAUCUGUAGCUGGUCUGAGAGGACGACCAGCCACUGGAACUGAGACACGGUCCAGACUCCUACGGGAGGCAGCAGUGGGGAAUUUUGGACAAUGGACGCAAGUCUGAUCCAGCCAUUCCGCGUGCAGGAUGAAGGCCCUCGGGUUGUAAACUGCUUUUGUACGGAACGAAAAGGUCUCUCUUAGUACGGGGGACUCACGACGGUACCGUAAGAAUAAGCACCGGCUAACUACGUGCCAGCCGCCGCGGUAA